rnacentral:rRNA from 1 species
CCAUUACACAUUUCUUCCCUAUUGACAGAGUUUUACGACCCUAAGGCCUUCAUCACUCACGCGGCGUCGCUGCAUCAGGGUUUCCCCCAUUGUGCAAAAUUCCUCA